ACUCCGGAGUGGCACUCGUGGGCGCUACCCAACCGAAUAUGCAAGCGUAUCUCUAUCCAGCUCAACCAGGCUCUCACAGGCUAUAGUCAAGUAAACAGGGUCUAACAACUGAACUCACGUGCCCUCGGCACAAUCUGAUGUAAAAAUAGCAAUCUGGGUCCACCAUCAACCUCAACGGCAUCCGACAAUCCAGAACAGCCUAAACACUUCUGUAAAAAUACACUCGGCACCUCAGCACUAGCGUAAAUAUAUUCUACACUAUUCUGGGUAUCCACCACCUACAAACUGUGGCGAUACAAACAAACUACGACUCCUAGAGCUAAAUCUGGUAGUUUGUUCAAAUGG
rnacentral:lncRNA from 1 species